AGAUUGAGAAGUCACUGCAGAAACAUGGUGGUCGGCUGGAACAUUAUGAGACUUACUGUGGUUCUUGUUAUGGUGCUGAAGCGGAAGAGCAUGACUGCUGCAAUUCAUGUGAGGAUGUUGGUGAAGCAUAUAGAAAAAAAGGGUGGGGUGUUACAAAUCCAGAUUUGAUUGAUCAGGUAAAUUGUUGAGAGAUAUGUUGCUCACCUUUUAAAUUCUCCGCAACUGCGUGUUUUUAUCACGUAUUUGCAUUUUUUUUUCAAUUCAUUUCUUCUUCAUCUUUCUCUAUGUUAGAGCCUCAGUGGCUUGUGUGCGGUCUGUUUAUUUGGUAUGAUGUGGGGCUCUAACCUUGACAUA